UCACCAUGAAAUAAUGCUUGUUACCUCUGCAUUUCUCCACCAAGACCUACAGGAGCUGGCCAUCCAACACUACAUAUUUAAAGCAAUUACUUAAAAAAUAGUUUGCUUUGUUGUACUUGCGCUUCUUCACCUCCGCCAUGACUGAACAGGCAACCCUUCCUGCUGACUUCAGGAAGAGAUGGCAGACACGUGACUCCGAUUCACUAUUUUCCACACUGCAGACGCAUCACAAAUCAUAUACUGCCGAUGUCGUCCGAAGAUAUCAAGGGAGCCACUGGGGAUUUCAGUGGAGAUGAUAACAAGAGACUGGGGUUAUUUCUCCCACAAUAAAUGGGCACUAAAGGCAAGCGACCAGCCAGCCUACCCACAUCCUUCAGACAUUAUUUGCAGACCUGAGGGCCUGUGAAUUUAACAGCAGCGACAUUCGCCUCAAUAAAGAUCCAGCGCUCUCUCCGUAUGUGUGGCACCUGGGAUGCGGGCGAGUAUUGAGCAGCUGCCACUGCUGGGCUCCGUGCUGCUUUUCAACAUGUUCAGCAAAGAAGCUUCCAGAUCUCCUCGCCCUAUCUCAUGGCAGGGUGGCUGGACAAAGUGAUUAUCCAGAGGGAAAAAAUGGCCACAUGUCAUGGUUAAUUCCAUCAACUAGACUUAUUCCUGAACUGAGUUUUGAAUGCAGGUAGCUGGCAAAGAAGCCUUUUCCUGUCCAACCUCGCAGGAUUGAAAGUUGGUCAGGCUUCAGAACAGCAAUGGAAGUUGGCUCUGAAAGAACAUUACUUUGCUUUUUUGCACCCAAAAAAAUGUAUUCACUGUAUGGUUGUGUUUGUGUGUGUGUAUGU